AACCUCCGCAAUGUGAGAAAUCGCGACGGGGGGAUCCCAAGUGCCAUUCUUAACGGGAUGGCUUUUCAUUAGUGUAAAGAGCUUUUGGAAUAAGAGCUGGGCAAGACCGGUGCCAGCCGCCGCGGUAACACCGGCAGCUCUAGUGGUAACAAUUUUUAUUGGGCCUAAAGCGUCCGUAGCCGGUUUAAUAAGUCUCUGGUGAAAUCCUGUAGCUUAACUGUGGGAAUUGCUGGAGAUACUAUUAGACUUGAGACCGGGAGAGGUUAGAGGUACUCCCAGGGUAGAGGUGAAAUUCUGUAAUCCUGGGAGGACCGCCUGUUGCGAAGGCGUCUAACUGGAACGGUUCUGACGGUGAGGGACGAAAGUUAGGGGCGCGAACCGGAUUAGAUACCCGGGUAGUCCUAACUGUAAACGGUGCGGACUUGGUGUUGGGGUGGCUUUGAGCUGCUCCAGUGCCGAAGGGAAGCUGUUAAGUCCGCCGCCUGGGAAGUACGGUCGCAAGACUGAAACUUAAAGGAAUU
rnacentral:rRNA from 1 species